AGGGGUCAGGCUGCCCAGGUGGAGACAGCAGAGGGAUGGCAGCUGGAAAAGGAGCAGAGUUCAGUGACAAAAUCUCCUCAGGUAAUGCAAAUGAACAGGGGGAAACAACAGAGACAGCAAGCCACAUUGCAUGGAGGCAACCACACAGGUACAAAAUCAUAAAACCAUCUUAACACUCCAUUUUAAAAAGCUCUCUAAAGAUAUGGUGCAACAUAUUCUAAAACUCCAUAUUUUAGGUAAUAAUGGCCUCUCAGUGAACAGGGGGAAUUGUACAAGGCAGUAAGAUAUCUGUACACAGUGGAUUUGAGUAUUUUUGCAUUUGAACUGUCAACAGGACAUUAUGAAUUUAUAAACCUUAAAAACGUUCAGGGUUAUAUUUUCAAUUGGCUGUCAUCAUGGUUCACCUAGUCAUGCAGGAUAUAAAUAUGUUUGUCCUAUGCUCUACAGAGUGAUCAUCUUGGAGCACACCCGUUAGAACACAAAGUGAGACAGCCCAAGCGGUGUGUGUGGAAGUUGCACACCCCUGUAGGAACCCAGAGUGAGACAUCCCAUUCCAUUUGCAUAGAAGCUCUGAGGCAGCCAGCUUCCAUUCCUAACCCCUACAGUGUUAACCCUUUGUAUGCCUUACUCCAACAGUUGCUAAUGUGGCUACUCAUUGGAAGUGAGGGGCUUUAGUUCUUACUGCUAGUGAAUUCAUUUGUGUUAGGAUUUAUGAGGUAGUCCCACACAGGUCUUCUAGGCUUUUUUGUUUGUUUGUUUUACUGUUGCUUGUACAGUUGCCAAAUGCCUAGAGGCUACACAGUACUUUUGAGUUUUUUUUCUGCAACGCUGUUCUAUAUUCUCGAUUUAGAACUUAGUAGUGGUGUUGAACCAGUUACAAUGUUCCAAAUAUCUUACUUGAUGGUCUCUACUUAGGAAAUUCCUAAAAUAUUGAAAACGCCAGACAGAGACGCUAUUAUAGUUUACUAACUUUAAUAGUUUUAUAUUCUGAUGAUCAGCAGGUUCUUUGCUGUUUGAUCAUUAGAUAUUUAAUACACUGUCAGCUCAAACGAGAGCACCUCAUAUUUAAAAUGUUUGGUUGUAAUAAAAAAAAACAAACAACAUUUUAAAAGCAGCUUACAAUGUAAAUUAAUUAUUUAAUGGUAUUCCCACUAUUGGCAUACUUAGUUUUUUUUAUCCUUCUGUUAGAGGUUUGAUAAAUUAUUUAAAAUGAAUUUCCUUCUGACUGCAUAUAUGAAAACUUUAUAUUGGACCAUGUUCAGUAGUUAUUAGCCUUUACAUCCAUUUUAU